GAAAAGGAAAUUAGAAAGGGAGGAGAAAUAUCUCCCUCUAGAACUUACGGGAAUUAUCAUUCCCACUCCUUCUACACUUUCAUUUUUACACACAUACACUGCCAUGGAGUUACACACACACAACGAUGUUGUCAUCUCCUUCCGGCGACCGACUCCUUACUUCUCUCUCUCCCUAUUUCUCUCUCUCUCGUCGGCAAUUGAAGAAAUUUUCCAGAUUCUCCGUCGCCGUCUCCAGCUGCUUUAGUCGCUCCGACGCCGCUGCACAGAACCGUCGGCUUCUGCUCGCCGGGAUAACGACGCUGCCGUCGACGUCUGCUACAAGCUUCGUUCGCUGCUGUGCAGCCCCCCCCGCCGGGAAGGUGCCGCUGUACCGCCGGGAAGACGCGACGCCGCUGUUGUCAGCAGCCUCCGUCGGUCAUUCUCUGCCACUCUGUUGCCCCGAUUUACCCCGAAACAGCCCCGACGCCUCUGAUACCAACCCGAUUCGUUAAAGGUAAGGUAACACAAGCAAGGAGGAACAAGAAUCUGGGAUUUCGAUGUCAAGGCUCGUUGGACUUGAGGUAGUAUAUUCUAUAUUAGGUCCUAAUUCUUGAAUUAAGUGCACGUAAUUGCAUUUUGAGUUUUUGCGUGCUAAAUUAUGAUACAAUACGUGAUUAUCAUAUAUUAUCUAUAGCUUGCAAAUAUGUGAGGGAGGCUGUGAAUGAUAAUAAUGAAUGCUUUGAAACUUACUACGUCUAUGUAAGGUGAUAUUGUGGGAAAACCAGUAAUUGACGUGAUAUGUUUUGGAAAUUGUUGGGCUGCUUGUUUGAAUGUAGGGAUAACAUAGAGUACUUAAAGAGGGCUUUGGAAGCUUGCUUUGCUAAUUUGAUUUAGUUUAGGGAUUAUGUAGCUGGGAGGCCCUUUGCUUAACCUUGUGCUAGUGUCAUUGUAUUCCACAGUUAAUUAUUUUCUUGAUCACAGUUCCUUUGUAUGCUUGUUAGUUUGACAUACAUUCGAUAGACCAGAGGAAAUAGAAGGAAAAAAAAAAUACUCACUAGCUUUGGUUGAUCAUAUCUGUAACCAAACUCUGGUUUCAUUAGUUUUUUUUUAAAUAGGCAAUCACAUUGAGUGAACAGUUACAUGGUUUCAAUUGCAAAACAUGUUGUCACAUUUGCUUUAUUUCUGGUUUACUUUAUCACAUUAUCAGGCUGUGUUGGAAACAGUAGCUAGAGUGAAGCCAAAGAAAGCAACGAGACAACUAUUGUGUCACGUUCUGGCAGCAUAUUUCGACUUCAGUUAACCAAGUAAACGACCUCAUUUUCUUACCAAAUUUUAGCUGAACAUAGUUUUGCGUGUCUUCUGCCUUGUGACCGAAAUUCAGCUUCAUCCGAGUUCAAAUAGAUUUAUAGUGAUUUUUCCAAUACAAUCUGCCCUGUUCAGGCUGGUUAGGGGGAAAACGAUUAUAAACUCUAAAUGACUAGGAAUUUCCAGCUCAAAAUUCAUCCCUACAAACUACACAUGUAUGAACUUAUUUUGCCUCUGAUUUUGUUGAGUUUCGACUUUCGAGUCGGUCUGAAUGAUUUUUCAUAGUUGGUCCAUUUUCUGUAAAAUCUUGGGAUAUGAUAACAGUUGAAAUGCUUAUGCUUUAACCUUAUUUUUUUGGACAAGUGUAUGAAGAUAUGAUUCCUAAUGUGAAAUCUUGAAGGAGAAAUAGUUGUUUUUGACUAAGCUAAUGUCUUGUAGGAUAAAUGCAUAAAUAAUAGACAAUAAUUAUGAAAUUAAGUUAGAAAAUAAUGGUUAAUAGUAUGAAUUUGAUACUUUAUAUGCGAAAGUGAAAUAUAUAUUGAAGGGUAAUCCUACCCCAGGAAAUAACAAGGACAAGGACAAGGAGCAGGAAUAAAGGGAUUCUUGUGUCAAGGGCGUUUUGGAUUUCAAGAUUAGAGGAUCAGACCUAGCUCUUUUGUUGUACAGCUGCUCAGCCAGGUCACUAGCCAGUCUUUUGAGUUCGAGUAAUUCUUGGAUAUGUUAGUUGUGGCAUGUAUAGAAAGUGUAAUGUAGUUUGGACGUUUCACUUACUUCGUUAUCCAGGUUGUAUAUAUAUAUAUAGACUUUUGGGAAACAGGUUUAUGGUCCAAUUUCAGACGUUAUAUAGCA